AGAUGAGAACAUUGAGGCUUGGAUAGCUGAAGUAACUCGUUCAUAAUUAACAGAAACAGAUUCAAAGCCAGGUCUCCCGAUACCAAACCUUUCCCCAGCACACUCAUGGCCUGGUUGGGAUAUCACCCUGCCCAGCUGCCACUGUGCUCAAAAUUCUUUUCCAGGUGAUCCAUCCUCUGAGCUAAGGUAUAGGUUCUCAACUUCGGUUGCAUAUUAGAAGCUCCUGAGGAAUUUUAAAAUUACUGACACCUUGGCUGCUGUCCAUACCAACGAACUUGCAAACUGUAGCUACAACCCAGUCAUCCAUGCUUUUAAGAGUUUCCAGAUGGGGCCAACAUGCAGCCAGGGUGACGAUGUUAUGGCUCAUUCGGGUACUUCUUUAGCUGAAAAUACUGCAGGUCAGAACAUUAUGUUGUCAGCCACAAACGUCCUCAUUGGAGGUCCACUUAUCAGAUAAGAAGAAAACAGCACAGGACAGGAUGUGAGAGGGUCAGGUCCUGAGCAGGUCAUUUAUACCGUGGGGGUGGGUUUCUUGAAAGAUCCAGGGCAUGGGGACAUUAACAGGGAGGCCUGGCCAUGGGGACAUAGAGGCAGUUGAAGAAAGGGAGACAAAGGGAUAAAAACAGACAUUAGUAUGCCCCAAGUCAAGAUGUAGCUGGUGAUAACAAUACUAGUUACCAGGGCUGGAUGCUCUAUGUGAAUUUGAUGGUUUAAUUUAUGCAAUAACUUAACGCAGUUGGUACUAUUAAUACUUCUAUUUUGCAGGAUACUGAUAUCUAGAGUUUAUAUGGUUUGCCCAAAUCAACACAGUGAGAAUUAUUUAGUAGAUCCAGGAUUUGUACCCCAGAGGUCUGAGUCCAGUGCCAGAGCCUCUAGCCAUAUUGCUCUCCUGGGUCCGUGCAGCUGAGGUGGGGCCCAGAAGCACAGCCACUGAGGAUAGGAGAAAAGGCAGGGCCCGCCAGAGACUGGACGAGUAGAACCAUCUGAGAAAGCUGAGGAGCUGGGGCCUGAUUCAGGGUUCUCACUCUGCAGAUGACCUCUGCUGCUCCUUGGUUGAUUGGAUGAGUGGAAGAUGGCCACCAGCAACUCCCAGACAGAAAAGUCUGAACAUUGCCCUGGACAACUGGAGACAGAGCAGACAGAACUAAGGCAUCAAGACAAAUCCUGUUUCAAUGCGAAGUUUAAAAUAAGUCAAUGCCAAAAAAGCCCAUGAUCUUCAAAAUACAACAUUUUAAAUAAAGACAGGGUAAUUCUUAGGCUAAAACAUCGUAGUCAGAGUCCUUCAAUUGGGGAAGAGAUCUGUAUUAGAAGUAAUUUUUUCUUAGUGAAGAAUCAAAGAUUUACUAGUUGGAGAACAUGCGAGGAUACUGUUUUGCAUACUAUUUUUUUCUCCAACUAUUUUCUUAUCCGUUUCUCUAGGGUUAAGUGUGCAGCCAGCUCUGUACUUUGUUGCCUGAGGGAAGUUAUUUGGUAAAGUGAAAAUCAGAAAUAACCUGUAAGAUCCUAUGCCUUUUAUUUUCCAAAACCAUAACUCUUGAUGUGAAUGUGGAGGGCCUGCAAAAGAAGUAAACAUGUUGGAGAGAGUUCCAUGGUAUAGACAAGUGGCUGAGGUAAAAAUAUGAAGGGGGAAGGGUUUUCCUGGACUUAAAAGAUUCUUUUAGGACAUGAGCCUGCAGAAGGAUGGAAAAAAAACUCCCCACAUGACUGAGGUUAAUUUCUUUUGCUUGUUUGGUGGGAGUAGGGACUCAAAAUAGAAAUUAAUUGCAUUUAUUGUAAAAUAAUGGUGUAAUAUUUAUCAUACACUUUAGUUUGUGAACUAAGCAUCAUACUUAUUAGGUUAUCAAAUUGUAUUUUACCAAUAUAGAGUUUAACAUAAUUGUUUCUAUUCUUAUUACCAAAAUACAUGAGGUACAAGAGUAAGGACUUUGUAAAUCUAUGCACCGCUGUUUCCUCUGGCAUAGAGUACAUGCUGAAUUAAUGAUGUGGUAGAUAAAUGAAUUACAGUGCAUAAGAUGGUUGUUUAAACUCUUCUGCAUAGUAGAAGAGCAAGUGUCCAGUUUAUAUUUUAAAGAAUAGUGUGUAUUACUUACAUAUUUCUGUGUGUGUAUGUAUACCAUAAUAAGAGUAGCAAUCAUAUUUGAUAUAACUUAUUCAAUGAACAAGUCCUUUGAAAAUUAUGAAGUGCUCUACAUGAGCAAGGUAUCUAUCACAUUAAUAUUAAUUAAAUAUAACCUUAGACUGGCUCCAAAGUUUAUCAACAACCUAUCCUGCAGUAAGCUUGCCUGCAUUUGGAGAAAACGUGGACUCUAGAAGUGGAUGCAUCUUUGGAAACACUGUGACAAUUAUGCGAAGGUGCAGGUAAUUUUGUUGUCUUUGAAAAAUAGGUGAUAGUGGUGUGGGGUAAGGGGUAAACUGAGCUGGAAAGUAAUGAAUGAGAUUAGUAGGACUCUGUUUUGUCUAGAGUCAAGCUGAGCUAAACACCCUGGCACAUGACCUGAGUUCUGAAAGAUGUUGACAGAUGCAAAAAUAAGAUAUACCGUUUGCUAUUGUUUCCAUGUUGGCCCAGUCAUCCUGCUGAAUCACUGCCACUAUUUCCUGAGCCUCGGGUUAGGGCUGAGACCCUCAGCAGUCUCAUCAGUCAACAUCUUCCAUGGUCCACAGAUUCAUGAGAAGUCUGGGGCACAUAGUCACUGGCUGCAUUUUAAAGCAGCAACUUAAUGGAGCCUGAAAUUUUAAGUUAUCAUGGAUGGAGAUGAGAUUGUCUACCUACCUUUUGGGAAUCUGGAAACGGUUGAUGGGAUGAGCUCUUGGGAAGAAUGGUGACUAUGUAAAUAUAAAUCAGAUCAAAGACAAUAAUUCUGCCUCAAAAUUGCCUUAGUGGUUAAACAGUGUUCAAUAAACAUAGUGUAAUAUUGUGACUGUGUUUAUAGCUGUUUCCCAAACCUGUUGUGUCAAACUCACCUUCAUGAUAUUUGCUAUAAUUAGGUACCAUGUGUGUUAUUGUUAGCAGAUAGUUUUAAAGUGAACUCAAGCUAUUUUUAAUGUUUUUAUCAUGGAAAAUUUAAAAAUACAUAUAAAAGUAGAAAAAUUAGCAUAAUAAACCCUCAUGUAUCAAGAGCAAACUUCAACAAUCAAUAACUUGAGGUCAAUCCUGUUUCUUCUCUCCCCAUACCCUCUUUCCUCUGCAUUUUUUGAAGUAAAUCCCAGACAUCCUAUCAUUUCAUCC
rnacentral:lncRNA from 10 species